rnacentral:rRNA from 1 species
GGACGUAGGCGGAAAUAUAAGUCAGCCGUGAAAUCCCGGGGCUCAACCCCGGAACUGCGUUUGAAACUAUAUUUCUUGAGGCAAGGCGGAGAAAACGGAAUUCCACAAGUAGCGGUGAAAUGCGUAGAUAUGUGGAAGAACACCAGUGGCGAAGGCGGUUUUCUAGCUUUGACCUGACGCUGAUGCCCGAAAGCUAGGGGAGCGAAACA